CAGUCGCCGCGGUAAUACGGAGGGUGCGAGCGUUAUUCGGAAUUACUGGGCGUAAAGCGCACGUAGGCGGCUUUGUAAGUUAGAGGUGAAAGCCUGGUGCUCAACACCAGAACUGCCUUUGAUACUGCAUCGCUUGAAUCCAGGAGAGGUGAGUGGAAUUCCGAGUGUAGAGGUGAAAUUCGUAGAUAUUCGGAAGAACACCAGUGGCGAAGGCGGCUCACUGGACUGGUAUUGACGCUGAGGUGCGAAAGCGUGGGGAGCAAACAGGAUUAGAUACCCCCGUAGUCCCUGUCUCUUAUAC
rnacentral:rRNA from 1 species